rnacentral:piRNA from 1 species
UAUAAAUGUCCAGUAGAGAGUUGGACCCUC